rnacentral:rRNA from 1 species
GACAGAGGGUGCAAACGUUGUUCGGAUUUACUGGGCGUAAAGCGUGUGUAGGCGGCUUUGCAUGUCGGAUGUGAAAGCCCACGGCUCAACCGUGGAAGUGCAUCCGAAACUGCAUCGCUGGAGUCCCGGAGAGGAAGGUGGAAUGCUUGGUGUAGAGGUGAAAUUCGUAGAUAUCAAGCAGAACACCUGCGGCGAAGGCGGCCUUCUGGACGGUGACUGACGCUGAGACACGAAAGCGUGGGGAGCAAACAGG